rnacentral:tRNA from 1 species
CAGGGAGACAACAAAAUGUUUAAAUUAUAAUUUUGUCACCUUAGGUCGAUCGGUAUCUCACAUUCUUAAUUUUUUAAGGAUUUCAUAUCCUAAGUUUUUCUAGGUCACACCCAUUAUUUUUCCUGGGCCAUUAGCUCAGGUGGUUAGAGCGCACCCCUGAUAAGGGUGAGGCCCUGGUUCAAGUCCAGGAUGGCCCAUAUCUCUAUGUUGGGGGUAUAGCUCAGUUGGAGAGCGCCUGCUUUGCAAGCAGGAUGUCAGCGGUUCGAGUCCGCUUACCUCCACUGAUUACCACCUCUCCCAUAAUUUAUAUAAAGGAAAUUUAUUGAGCUGUGAUCAAUUCUGAACGAAUCUAGCUUCCUAAUUAAACUUAUUAAGAUGCUGGACUCAUUGAAUUAAUUUCAUUGUUUUCAGAGAACCUUGACAACUGCAUAGAUUAUUUUUAAAGACAAUAAGCAUCUUUAUUGAUGCAGAUUUAUUAUUUUUGCUAAUGCAUUAAUAACAAUUCUAUUGAAGCUGAUGCUUCA